CUUUUCCCUCCGACGACGAGGGAGCCACCGGCGGCGGCGGUAAUCCAGGCGCUGUCGUUGAAGGCUCGCCACCACCGGCCCGUAGUCAUCUUCGUCGAGGCCAGUGGCUCCACCGUGCUUCCCUCCGAUGCCGCCUCCCUCUAGAUCCGCCGCUUCCCUGCCCCCUGCUCGUCGAUUCGGCUAGGAAUUGAGACCUCCUCCGCGUUUCCGCCAGUGUCGCCCUAUGCGCGUGCGACACCUAGACCGGACCUGAAAUUUUAUCUUCAAUCGACCUAUGGAUGUUCCGUGCUCCUCUCUCUCACACGCCGCCGGCUCACUGCCGCCUCUUCUCACUCCCAUGCCAUGCCCAUCGCCGCACGUCUGCCUCGUCCAAAUCUCGCUGCGACCUACAUCCCCGGCGUCGUGGCCGGCUCCACCAACCCGUGGCCUUCGACCACCGCCGCACACUCCAUCUCGCCAGGUCGCCCGUAUGGGCGUAUGGCCCAGCACUUUCUUUCAUCUUGUCUCCG
rnacentral:lncRNA from 7 species